GGCGGACGGGUGAGUAACGCGUAAAGAACUUGCCCUUUAGACUGGGAUAACAGAGGGAAACUUCUGAUAAUACUGGAUAAGUUAGUAUAUCGCAUGAUGUGCAAAAUGAAAGCUACGGCACUAAAGGAGAGCUUUGCGUCCUAUUAGCUAGUUGGUAAGGUAAGAGCUUACCAAGGCGAUGAUAGGUAGCCGGCCUAAGAGGGUGGACGGCCACAAGGGGACUGAGAUACGGCCCUUACUCCUACGGGAGGCAGCAGCC
rnacentral:rRNA from 1 species